GGCGAGAUGGCCGAGCGGUCUAAGGCGCCAGACUAAGGUGUUGUAGCGGGAUUCGAACCCGUCCACCGAUAUCUGGUCCGAAAGGGCGUGGGUUCGAAUCCCACUCUCGUCA
rnacentral:tRNA from 1 species